rnacentral:rRNA from 1 species
UACGUAGGGUGCAAGCGUUGUCCGGAUUUAUUGGGCGUAAAGAGCGUGUAGGCGGCUUGGCAAGUCCGCUGUGAAAACUCGAGGCUCAACCUCGAGACGUCGGUGGAAACUGCCUCGCUAGAGUCCGGAAGAGGAGAGUGGAAUUCCUGGUGUAGCGGUGAAAUGCGCAGAUAUCAGGAAGAACACCCGUGGCUAAGGCGGCUCUCUAGUACGGUACUGACGCUGAGACGCGAAAGCGUGGGGAGCGAACAGG